UACGAAGGGGGCUAGCGUUGCUCGGAAUCACUGGGCGUAAAGCGCACGUAGGCGGGUCUUUAAGUCAGGGGUGAAAUCCCGGAGCUCAACUCCGGAACUGCCUUUGAUACUGGAGAUCUUGAGUCCGGGAGAGGUGAGUGGAACUCCGAGUGUAGAGGUGAAAUUCGUAGAUAUUCGGAAGAACACCAGUGGCGAAGGCGGGUCACUGGCCCGGUACUGACGCUGAGGUGCGAAAGCGUGGGGAGCAAACAGG
rnacentral:rRNA from 1 species